CGCGGGAAUUCGAUUAGAGUUUGAUCAUGGCUCAGGAUGAACGCUGGCGGCGUGCUUAACACAUGCAAGUCGAACGAACCUUCGGGUUAGUGGCGGACGGGUGAGUAACGCGUGAGAAUCUGCCCUCAGGAGGGGGAUAACGGUUGGAAACGACCGCUAAUACCCCAUAUGCCGAUAGGUGAAAUGAAUUUCGCCUGAGGAUGAGCUCGCGUCUGAUUAGCUAGUUGGUGAGGUAAUGGCUCACCAAGGCUUCGAUCAGUAGCUGGUCUGAGAGGAUGAUCAGCCACACUGGGACUGAGACACGGCCCAGACUCCUACGGGAGGCAGCAGUGGGGAAUUUUCCGCAAUGGGCGAAAGCCUGACGGAGCAACGCCGCGUGAGGGACGAAGGCCUCUGGGCUGUAAACCUCUUUUCUCAAGGAAGAAGAUAUGACGGUACUUGAGGAAUAAGCCACGGCUAAUUCCGUGCCAGCAGCCGCGGUAAUACGGGAGUGGCAAGCGUUAUCCGGAAUUAUUGGGCGUAAAGCGUCCGCAGGCGGCUUAUCAAGUCUGCUGUUAAAGCGUGGAGCUUAACUCCAUCAUGGCAGUGGAAACUGAUAGGCUUGAGUAUGGUAGGGGCAGAGGGAAUUCCCGGUGUAGCGGUGAAAUGCGUAGAUAUCGGGAAGAACACCAGUGGCGAAGGCGCUCUGCUGGGCCAUUACUGACGCUCAUGGACGAAAGCCAGGGGAGCGAAAGGGAUUAGAUACCCCUGUAGUCCUGGCCGUAAACGAUGAACACUAGGUGUCGGGGGAAUCGACCCCUUCGGUGUCGUAGCUAACGCGUUAAGUGUUCCGCCUGGGGAGUACGCACGCAAGUGUGAAACUCAAAGGAAUUGACGGGGGCCCGCACAAGCGGUGGAGUAUGUGGUUUAAUUCGAUGCAACGCGAAGAACCUUACCAGGGUUUGACAUCCUGCGAACCUCUUAGAAAUUUGAGGGUGCCUUCGGGAAUGCAGUGACAGGUGGUGCAUGGCUGUCGUCAGCUCGUGUCGUGAGAUGUUGGGUUAAGUCCCGCAACGAGCGCAACCCACGUUUUUAGUUGCCAGCAUUUAGUUGGGCACUCUAGAAAGACCGCCGGUGAUAAACCGGAGGAAGGUGUGGAUGACGUCAAGUCAUCAUGCCCCUUACACCCUGGGCUACACACGUACUACAAUGCUACGGACAAAGGGCAGCAAACUCGCGAGAGCUAGCAAAUCCCAUAAACCGUGGCUCAGUUCAGAUCGUAGGCUGCAACUCGCCUACGUGAAGUAGGAAUCGCUAGUAAUCGCAGGUCAGCAUACUGCGGUGAAUACGUUCCCGGGCCUUUAGACACCGCC
rnacentral:rRNA from 1 species